GCGGCCUCGGCGGUGGCGGCCGUGGCUGCCGCGGAGGAGGAGGACGAGGAGGACGAGGAGCAGGACGAAGAGGAAGCAGCCGCGGCCGCUGGGAACUGUUUGAAGAACUCUUUUUAAGCUCCCAAUAGCAUUACAAUGGAGAGAAAGAGGAAUAACCCCAAAUACUGCUCUCAGCUCCCUACUGAUGUGCUUGGAAAAGCAGCUGAAGAUGGCUCAGUAUUUGGGCCCCUGCACCCAUGCUUAAGACCCCAGUGAAGCUCCUGGCUUCAGCAUUUGGAACCAGCAGAUGGAAGACCUCUCUGUUUCUCCCUCCUCUGCAUAACUCUGCCCUUCAAAUAAAUACAACUUGAAAAACAAAUGAAAGAAAGAUCUUCUUUGAAAACCGGACCAUGAGGAGGAUACUCACUUCUUCCACUUGUAUUUAACAUUGUUCUAGAAGUUCUAGACAAAACAAUUAGGUUGCUUCUCGUGACCACAGUGACUUCCAGUGCAUUGCUGAGGAGAUGCCUGGGAGUAGCCCAGGGCCCUCUGGAGGCUGUGGGGUCCACCAAUGCAUCUUUGCUUGCCCAAUGAAGAGACACAUGAUCUUCAAAAUUCAAUUUUGGAUUUGGCCAAGGGGAUUAUAACUGCCUAUAAAAUAUUUAUCUGCCUAGUAUGCAGAUUUUCAAAGGAAAAUAUGGUUUUAUUUGGCAUGUCUGAAAAGUUUCCAGGGGCCAAAGAACCUCAUUCCAGCCAAAUCAAUAAAUACAGAGAAGCAUCUCUUGCCUACUAUAGUGGAUCAAUUGGAAGGAUGAUGACAGCUGUUCCUGUUGACUUUUCCUGAAACUGACUCAACUUAAACUUUGUAAAAAAAAGCUUAGGUCAACAGUACAUCACCAGCUAGUUUCUGCCAAAUGGACUGAACUUUCCUCCAAAUCUGAGUUAGAGUUGGAAAGAGCCAAUGGGAAAAAUGAAGCCAAGGUCAUGCUGAGUUCAGCUCAGGCUUUGGAAAGUGUUUUUCAGAACUCUGCUAUCCUGGGUUGCCCUCAAAGUAAGUGGGGAAAAAUAAUGAACAAAACUGUAUGUGUGUGUAUUUGGGAAACACUCAACCAUUUCAAGACUGUCCUGACUAUGACAAGAAUGCAUUUCUAACCAUGGAUCAUGAAGAAAACCAUCAUCCUUUGCAGGGGGGUUUUGGACAUGCACUGAUUGCUAUGGUGAAGUUCCAGAAAGGUAACUGGGAAGAUGAAUAACUGCUACUUUAUCCCUUCCCAGUUAUCUGGAAUUUGCUUAAAGGUUGAAAGAAUGUCUUGUUUGACUUUGGCACAUAGCAUGAUGGCCAAUACACAGUACAUGUAUAAUUAAAUGUCAUUACAUGAUAGGAUAACAGCAACAGAUAAUGCUGGGAGUAGCUUCAUUAUCUUACUCAGCUAAGAGGCUCCUCAAUCUGGAAGAUUGUGUUGACCAAAAUUUAUUGGGG